rnacentral:rRNA from 1 species
GACGAACGCUGGCGGCGUGCUUAACACAUGCAAGUCGAACGGGAAGGCCCUGCUUUUGUGGGGUGCUCGAGUGGCGAACGGGUGAGUAACACGUGAGUAACCUGCCCUUGACUUUGGGAUAACUUCAGGAAACUGGGGCUAAUACCGGAUAGGAGCUCCUGCUGCAUGGUGGGGGUUGGAAAGUUUCGGCGGUUGGGGAUGGACUCGCGGCUUAUCAGCUUGUUGGUUGGGUAGUGGCUUACCAAGGCUUUGACGGGUAGCCGGCCUGAGAGGGUGACCGGCCACAUUGGGACUGAGAUACGGCCCAGACUGCUGCGGGAGGCAGCAGUGGGGAAUAUUGCACAAUGGGCGGAAGCCUGAUGCAGCAACGCCGCGUGCGGGAUGACGGCCUUCGGGUUGUAAACCGCUUUCGCCUGUGACGAAGCGUGAGUGACGGUAAUGGGUAAAGAAGCACCGGCUAACUACGUG